rnacentral:rRNA from 1 species
GACGAACGCUGGCGGCGUGCUUAACACAUGCAAGUCGAACGAUGAAGCCGGAGCUUGCUCCGGUGGAUUAGUGGCGAACGGGUGAGUAACACGUGAGCAAUCUGCCCUUGACUCUGGGAUAACUGCGGGAAACUGUAGCUAAUACCGGAUACGACACCUUGGGGCAUCCCAGGGUGUGGAAAGAAUUUCGGUCAAGGAUGAGCUCGCGGCCUAUCAGCUAGUUGGUGAGGGAAUGGCUCACCAAGGCGACGACGGGUAGCCGGCCGGAGAGGGUGACCGGCCACACUGGAACUGAGACACGGUCCAGACGCCUACGGGAGGCAGGAGUGGGGAAUAUUGCACAAUGGGCGAAAGCCUGAUGCAGCAACGCCGCGUGAGGGAUGAAGGCCUUCGGGUUGUAAACCUCUUUUAGCAGGGAAGAAGCGAAAGUGACGGUACCUGCAGAAAAAGCACCGGCUAACUACGUGCCAGCCGCCGCCGUAA